GAGUUUGAUCCUGGCUCAGGAUGAACGCUAGCGACAGGCCUAACACAUGCAAGUCGAGGGGCAUCGGGGCGAGGAGCAAUCCUUGCCGCCGGCGACCGGCGCACGGGUGAGUAACGCGUAUGCGACCUGCCCGUUGCAGGGGGAUAAUCGGGAGAAAUCCCGUCUAAUACCGCGUAAUGCCGCGGGGCUGCAUGGCCCUGCGGCCAAAGGGAGCGAUUCCGGCAACGGAUGGGCAUGCGUGACAUUAGCUAGUUGGCGGGGCAACGGCCCACCAAGGCGACGAUGUCUAGGGGUUCUGAGAGGAAGGUCCCCCACACUGGUACUGAGACACGGACCAGACUCCUACGGGAGGCAGCAGUGAGGAAUAUUGGUCAAUGGGCGCGAGCCUGAACCAGCCAAGUCGCGUGAGGGAUGACGGCCCUACGGGUUGUAAACCUCUUUUGUCGGGGAGCAAAUUCCGCCACGUGUGGCGGAGUCGAGAGUACCCGAAGAAAAAGCAUCGGCUAACUCCGUGCCAGCAGCCGCGGUAAUACGGAGGAUGCGAGCGUUAUCCGGAUUUAUUGGGUUUAAAGGGUGCGUAGGCGGAGUGUCAAGUCAGCGGUAAAAUUUCGGGGCUCAACCCCGUCGUGCCGUUGAAACUGACACCCUUGAGUG
rnacentral:rRNA from 1 species